rfam:Triticum aestivum genome assembly, contig: Triticum_aestivum_CS42_TGACv1_scaffold_576889_7BL
CAACUACUCCCUUUGUCCCAAAUUUCUUGUCUUAGAUUUGUCUAGAUACGGAUGCAUCUUGAUACAUUCGUAUCUAGACAAAUCUAAGACAAGAAUUUUGGGACAGAGGGAGUACUUU